ensembl:miRNA
UUGUGCUGUUACCGAGGGCCAUGUCUGGAUCCUUGGCUGUGUAAUAGCAGCAGCAGCAGCAGCAGCAGCAGCAGCAGCAGCAGCAGGAAUU